AAUUAUCACUCUCCUCCUUCUCACAUAGGGAACUGAGGUGCAGAGACGUUGUUAAAUCCCAUGUCUGGGAUCACACAGCUGAGAGCUGCAGAACCUUAUCUGUUUCCUGAGUCUGACUGGACACUGAGAUUUGGCAGCUGAAGCCACAUAUUCAGUAUCGUCUCCAUCCCCUAAGCCUGCCGAGGUGCAGAGAACACAGUAGCUGCUUCAUAAACGGCUGUAAAAGCGGAGAUUGCAAGAUUGCUCCAAACCCGUGGAGGCCGAUCAGUUUCCAGUACAUACGAGACAGGGUCUCAUGUUGGCUCGGAGAUUGGCUGCGCGUAGGCUCAGUAGACUGGACGGCAAGCCCCAGGAAUCUCCUAAGAGACGCUAUCCCAGGAUGGUCUUGAACUCACAGAGCUUUCUUCCUCAGCCUCCUAAGUGCUAGGAUGACAGAUUCCACAUGGCACUGGGAUUUGCCUAAUUCCAUAUGGAAGGAGUUUAUUAAAGGCGGUUUUACACUUGUGCUCAUCUCGUCGUGGCCUCCGAGUGCAAGAAUUACAGCUUCUAGAUUCUGCUCUGUUUGCAUGCUAAGAGUCAAAUGGGGGAAUGGAUACCUCACUGCCUCAUCCACUUAACUAUUGGCUGAAGGAAUAUAACACAACUCCUAAAAAGGACUUUUGUUCUGGUUCUUGCAGUGGGAAGAGGGAGAGAGAGAUUGUGAAGGCUAUCUGGGUAAUUUCCCUUCCCUUCUCUUGGGCUUGUCUUCCUGUGAUGAAUCCUCUGGGAAUGGCCUCCCCUGAUGUCCACGUGGCAACUCAGACAAAAUGAAACACGCAUGGAGCGAUUUUCUCAUGGCAUCUUAGUUCCUGUUCUAUUGCAUGACCAUGGCAACUCUUAGAAAGGAAACAUUUAAUGGGGGCUGGCUAACAGUUACAGAGGUUUAGUCUGUUAUCAUCAUGUCAGAGAGCAGGGUUGCAUGCAGGCAGAUAGGGUGCUAGAAAAAAAGUAGGUGAGGGUUUUACAUACGUAUCCUCAGGCAGCAGGAGGGGGAGGGGGAGAGGAGAAGGAGAGGGGGAGUAUGGGCAGGUGCUGGCUUUGAAACCUCAAACCCCACCCCCAAGUGGUACACCUACUCCAAAGAGGACACACCUUUUAAUCUUCCGGGGGACAGCUAUCAACGAGAGUCUAAGAAUGCAAAUAUAUGAGUUUAAGGGGGCUGGGGGCUGGGGGUAAUCUUAUUCAAACCUUGAUACUUGGGUUGUUUGGCUCAAGGGCAACUGUCUCUGACUCUGAAGAAAAACAACAACAAUCAAUGCCUCCAGCUAGAUGGCAGAGAUGGUACCCCUCCAUCUCCCUCCAAGGGAGGGGGAUCUUUUGGUACCAAGACAGGAGAUAUUGUGACCCAUCUCCUGGCCUUUCAAUGGAUGAAGGAAGAGAAGGUGGGGGCUGGGAAAGAAACCUCAUCUUACUCAGUGGGACCAGAGAGGGUCGGACAAAGACACGGAGUUGGGAGAGCAAAGAGACAGAAGUGAGCCACAGCAGAUCUCAGUGCAACCUAAAAGCAGCUCACGGAUGGGCUGAAGUACAGGGGCAGUGGAUGUGAUGACUGAAGGCUACAGAAGUCGCAGAAGCUGGACCACGAGGGUUUCCAUGCCAACCUAAUGAGCUCAGGCUUCAUCUUCUGGGUAAUGGCAGCUGGACAUUUAGAGAGGAAUAAUCUGGAAAGGGAUUUUUUGCACUGUUGUGGUGGCAGAAGAUGGGCAGGAGCAUUAGAGGGGGAAGGAAAGCAUUCCCCAGUUUUUAGGGGAGCCGCGAGAACUGGAAGGCAGGAGAACAUGAGGUCUUGGAUAAAGAAAGAGGGAGCCAGGGCUCACACACAGAUUUCUCUCAAAGCUACCAUGGAAGAAGCGUGUCUCCAUGUGCAGUUGGGAAUGGGAGAGAUUGCCAUCCUGUUGCUAUUCUAUUUCCCUUUCAUUUAGUUUGGACAAGGGAGGCCACACUCCUUCAAUAAGGCCUUUCUUUCCCCUAGCCGAGUGGGUCAUUCACUGAAGUCGGUGGCAGGAGAGCUGACAGGAGGGCUGAGGGCCAGGGAGAUCAGGAAACAUGGAGUGACGACUCAGACUUGAUGCUUGCUAAACAGAGCUGGGCUGAACUGGGAGGUAGCAGCACCUGCCCUGUCCCAUGUCCGUGUCCUGGGUUUCAGAUGCCCAGAGCCCUGGCAGAGGCCUAGGCCUGGCCUCUCACUCACCCAGUGGGCAGUGAGAAGCUGUCUCCAAACC
rnacentral:lncRNA from 1 species